rnacentral:piRNA from 1 species
CUGCAUAUUGUCAUGAAUA